UCUGGAUGGUUACUUGUUCACCUAUCAAGAAUUUCUCUCUCACUAUAAUAUCCCUGUUACUCCAAAACAGUUUGCUUCUGUAUUUGGUGCUAUCCCUAGUGGUGUUAUUAUGCUGUUUAAGGGCCAUAAUAGUUUUUUGACAAGUCUUGAAUUACCUCUCCCAGACCCGGCAGACACGUAUGUAGUGGAAGAUAUUUCAUGGAAGAAGGUUUGGACUCUCCCUAACAAGUACCUAUUGGUAAAUAAGGUCAAAGAGAUUUCUUUUAAGCUUAUUCAUCAAUAUUAUCCUGUCAAAACGUUCAUAGUGUCAAAAUUUAAAUUAAGUAUAGAUGUAAACUGUACUUUUUGUGAUUCAGAACCAGAGACUAUCUUACAUCUUUUUUGGUACUGUGGUCAUACCAGAAAACUUUGGCAAGACAUUUGC